CAUGCAGUCGAACGGUAACAGGAAGCAGCUUGCUUCUUUGCUGACGAGUGGCGGACGGGUGAGUAAUGUCUGGGAAACUGCCUGAUGGAGGGGGAUAACUACUGGAAACGGUAGCUAAUACCGCAUAACGUCGCAAGACCAAAGAGGGGGACCUUCGGGCCUCUUGCCAUCGGAUGUGCCCAGAUGGGAUUAGCUAGUAGGUGGGGUAACGGCUCACCUAGGCGACGAUCCCUAGCUGGUCUGAGAGGAUGACCAGCCACACUGGAACUGAGACACGGUCCAGACUCCUACGGGAGGCAGCAGUGGGGAAUAUUGCACAAUGGGCGCAAGCCUGAUGCAGCCAUGCCGCGUGUAUGAAGAAGGCCUUCGGGUUGUAAAGUACUUUCAGCGGGGAGGAAGGGAGUAAAGUUAAUACCUUUGCUCAUUGACGUUACCCGCAGAAGAAGCACCGGCUAACUCCGUGCCAGCAGCCGCGGUAAUACGGAGGGUGCAAGCGUUAAUCGGAAUUACUGGGCGUAAAGCGCACGCAGGCGGUUUGUUAAGUCAGAUGUGAAAUCCCCGGGCUCAACCUGGGAACUGCAUCUGAUACUGGCAAGCUUGAGUCUCGUAGAGGGGGGUAGAAUUCCAGGUGUAGCGGUGAAAUGCGUAGAGAUCUGGAGGAAUACCGGUGGCGAAGGCGGCCCCCUGGACGAAGACUGACGCUCAGGUGCGAAAGCGUGGGGGAGCAAACAGGAUUAGAUACCCUGGUAGUCCACGCCGUAAACGAUGUCGACUUGGAGGUUGUGCCCUUGAGGCGUGGCUUCCGGAGCUAACGCGUUAAGUCGACCGCCUGGGGAGUACGGCCGCAAGGUUAAAACUCAAAUGAAUUGGCGGGGGCCCGCACAAGCGGUGGAGCAUGUGGUUUAAUUCGAUGCAACGCGAAGAACCUUACCUGGUCUUGACAUCCACGGAAGUUUUCAGAGAUGAGAAUGUGCCUUCGGGAACCGUGAGACAGGUGCUGCAUGGCUGUCGUCAGCUCGUGUUGUGAAAUGUUGGGUUAAGUCCCGCAACGAGCGCAACCCUUAUCCUUUGUUGCCAGCGGUCCGGCCGGGAACUCAAAGGAGACUGCCAGUGAUAAACUGGAGGAAGGUGGGGAUGACGUCAAGUCAUCAUGGCCCUUACGACCAGGGCUACACACGUGCUACAAUGGCGCAUACAAAGAGAAGCGACCUCGCGAGAGCAAGCGGACCUCAUAAAGUGCGUCGUAGUCCGGAUUGGAGUCUGCAACUCGACUCCAUGAAGUCGGAAUCGCUAGUAAUCGUGGAUCAGAAUGCCACGGUGAAUACGUUCCCGGGCCUUGUACACACCGCCCGUCACACCAUGGGAGUGGGUUGCAAAAGAAGUAGGUAGCUUAACCUUCGGGAGGGCGCUUAC
rnacentral:rRNA from 1 species